AGAGUUUGAUCAUGGCUCAGGACGAACGCUGGCGGCGUGCUUAACACAUGCAAGUCGAACGGUGAUCGGGGAGCUUGCUCCUUGUGAUCAGUGGCGAACGGGUGAGUAACACGUGAGUAACCUGCCCCAGACUCUGGGAUAACCCCGGGAAACCGGAGCUAAUACCGGAUAUGACUCCUGCCUGCAUGGGCUGGGGGUGGAAAGUUUUUUCGGUCUGGGAUGGGCUCGCGGCCUAUCAGCUUGUUGGUGAGGUAGUGGCUCACCAAGGCGACGACGGGUAGCCGGCCUGAGAGGGCGACCGGCCACACUGGGACUGAGACACGGCCCAGACUCCUACGGGAGGCAGCAGUGGGGAAUAUUGCACAAUGGGCGCAAGCCUGAUGCAGCGACGCCGCGUGAGGGAUGACGGCCUUCGGGUUGUAAACCUCUUUCAGCAGGGAAGAAGCGCAAGUGACGGUACCUGCAGAAGAAGCACCGGCUAACUACGUGCCAGCAGCCGCGGUAAUAC
rnacentral:rRNA from 1 species